rnacentral:misc_RNA from 1 species
GUGAUUGCCUUAAUUGGCUAACUAUAUCCAACUACACCUGUGAACUGUUCGAUUGAAUCACUUGUGAUUCAAUUUUUUACAAACAUUGUGUAAUGAACGUCAUUAGAUCAUAAUAAAGAAAA